rnacentral:rRNA from 1 species
AUUGAACGCUGGCGGCAGGCCUAACACAUGCAAGUCGAACGGUAACAGGAAGAAGCUUGCUUCUUUGCUGACGAGUGGCGGACGGGUGAGUAAUGUCUGGGAAACUGCCUGAUGGAGGGGGAUAACUACUGGAAACGGUAGCUAAUACCGCAUAACGUCGCAAGACCAAAAAGGGGGACCUUCGGGCCUCUUGCCAUCGGAUGUGCCCAGAUGGGAUUAGCUAGUAGGUGGGGUAACGGCUCACCUAGGCGACGAUCCCUAGCUGGUCUGAGAGGAUGACCGGCCACACUGGAACUGAGACACGGUCCAGACUCCUACGGGAGGCAGCAGUGGGGAAUAUUGCACAGUGGGCGCAAGCCUGAUGCAGCCAUGCCGCGUGUAUGAAGAAGGCCUUCGGGUUGUAAAGUACUUUCAGCGGGGAGGAAGGGAGUAAAGUUGAUACCUUUGCUCAUUGACGUUACCCGCAGAAGAAGCACCGGCUAACUCCGUG